UACGAAGGGUGCAAGCGUUAAUCGGAAUUACUGGGCGUAAAGCGCGUGUAGGCUGCUUCGCAAGUCGGGUGUGAAAGCCCUGGGCUCAACCUAGGAAGUGCACUCGAAACUGCGGAGCUUGAGUCUCGGAGAGGAUCGCGGAAUUCUCGGUGUAGAGGUGAAAUUCGUAGAUAUCGAGAGGAACACCGGUGGCGAAGGCGGCGAUCUGGACGAUGACUGACGCUGAGACGCGAAAGCGUGGGGAGCAAACAGG
rnacentral:rRNA from 1 species